CCUACGGGAGGCAGCAGUGAGGAAUAUUGGUCAAUGGACGAGAGUCUGAACCAGCCAAGUAGCGUGAAGGAUGACUGCCCUACGGGUUGUAAACUUCUUUUAUACGGGAAUAACGCGCCUUACGUGUAGGGCUUUGCAUGUACCGUAUGAAUAAGGAUCGACUAAUUCCGUGCCAGCAGCCGCGGUAAUACGGAAGGUCCGGGCGUUAUCCGGAUUUAUUGGGUUUAAAGGGAGCGUAGGCGGGAUGUCAAGCGUGCUGUGAAAUGUCCGGGCGCAACCCGGGCCUUGCAGCGGGAACUGGUGUGCUUGAGUCAGCGGAAAGCAGGCGGAAUUCGUGGUGUAGCGGUGAAAUGCUUAGAUAUGACGAAGAACCCCGAUUGCGAAGGCAGCUUGCUGCAGCGGAACUGACGCUGAUGCUCGAAAGCGCGGGUAUCGAACAGGAUUAGAUACCCUGGUAGUC
rnacentral:rRNA from 1 species